rnacentral:misc_RNA from 1 species
GAUGAAGAACGCAGCGAAAUGCGAUAAGUAAUGUGAAUUACAGAAUUUAGUGAAUCAUCGAAUCUUUGAACGCAUAUUGCGCCCGCCAGCACUCUGGCGGGCAUGCCUGUUCGAGCGUCAUUUCAACCCUCAGGCCUCGCGUCUGGCGUUGGGGCGCUGCGGCCCUCCCGCAGGCCCCCAAAUUUAGCGGCGGAUUCCCCGCGGCCCUGAGCGCAGUAGAGAGUAAAAACUUUAACGCUCCGGCGGCCGUGGCGCGGUUCUGCCUCUUUCCCAAUAGCGCCAAUAGCGCCACCCCCAAAAAAGUUGACCUCGGAUCAGGUAGGACUACCCGCUGAACUUAAGCAUAUCAAUAAGCGGAGGA